AUUGAACGCUGGCGGCAUGCUUUACACAUGCAAGUCGAACGGCAGCGCGGGCUUCGUCCUGGCGGCGAGUGGCGAACGGGUGAGUAAUACAUCUGAACGUGCCCAGUAGUGGGGGAUAGCUCGUCGAAAGCCGGAUUAAUACCGCAUACGACCUGAUGGUGAAAGCGGGGGGUCUUCGGACCUCGCGCUAUUUUAGCGGCCGAUGGCAGAUUAGCUAGUUGGUUGGGUAAAGGCCUACCAAGGCGACGAUCUGUAGCUGGUCUGAGAGGACGACCAGCCACACUGGGACUGAGACACGGCCCAGACUCCUACGGGAGGCAGCAGUGGGGAAUUUUGGACAAUGGGCGAAAGCCUGAUACAGCAAUGCCGCGUGUGUGAUGAAGGCCUUCGGGUUGUAAAGCACUUUUGGCGGGAACGAAAAGGACUGUGCCAAUACCACGGUUGGAUGACGGUAACCGCAGAAUAAGCACCGGCUAACUACGUG
rnacentral:rRNA from 1 species